GUAAUCAGGAAAGGUGGCCUCUGUAUAUGCUACCGAUAUAAGAUGGACCCGCGUCUGAUUAGCUAGUUGGUGGGGUAAAGGCCUACCAAGGCGACGAUCAGUAGCCGGCCUGAGAGGGUGAACGGCCACACUGGGACUGAGACACGGUCCAGACUCCUACGGGAGGCAGCAGUGGGGAAUCUUCCGCAAUGGACGAAAGUCUGACGGAGCAACGCCGCGUGUAUGAUGAAGGUCUUCGGAUUGUAAAGUACUGUCUUUGGGGAAGAAUGACUGUUUUGAAAAUAUUGAGCUAGAUUGACGGUACUUGAUGAAUAAGCCCCGGCUAACUAUGUGCCAGCAGCCGCGGUAAUACAUAGGGGGCAAGCGUUAUCCGGAAUUAUUGGGCGUAAAGGGUGCGUAGGUGGUUAAUUAAGUCUUUGGUAUAAGUGCAGUGCUCAACGCUGUGACGCUAAAGAAACUGGUAGACUUGAGUGCAGGAGAGGAAAGUGGAAUUCCUAGUGUAGCGGUGAAAUGCGUAGAUAUUAGGAGGAACACCAGUGGCGAAGGCGACUUCCUGGCUUGUAACUGACACUGAGGCGCGAAAGCGUGGGGAUCAAACAGGAUUAGAUACCCUGGUAGUCCACGCCGUAAACGAUGAGUGCUAGGUGUCGGGGGUAUCGACCCCCUCGGUGCCACAGCUAACGCAAUAAGCACUCCGCCUGGGGAGUACGGUCGCAAGACUGAAACUCAAAGGAAUUGACGGGGGCCCGCACAAGCGGUGGAGUAUGUGGUUUAAUUCGACGCAACGCGAAGAACCUUACCAAGGCUUGACAUCUGCGGAACCUCUGUGAAAGCAGGGGGUGCCUUCGGGGGAGCCCGGAGACAGGUGGUGCAUGGUUGUCGUCAGCUCGUGUCGUGAGAUGUUGGGUUAAGUCCCGCAACGAGCGCAACCCCUACAGCUAGUUGCCAGCACGUAAAGGUGGGAACUCUAGCAGAACUGCCGGUGACAAACCGGAGGAAGGUGGGGAUGACGUCAAAUCAUCAUGCCCCUUAUGACUUGGGCUACACACGUACUACAAUGGCGUAUACAGAGAGACGCGAAGUGGCGACAUGGAGCAAACUCACAAAGUACGUCUCAGUUCAGAUUGGAGUCUGCAACUCGACUCCAUGAAGGCGGAAUCGCUAGUAAUCGCGGAUCAGCAUGCCGCGGUGAAUACGUUCUCGGGCCUUGUACACACCGCCCGUCAAACCAUGAGAGUUGGUAAUACCCGAAGCCGGUGGCCUAAC
rnacentral:rRNA from 1 species